AACACUAUCUGGCUGUCAGUAGGGCCAAGGAUGCUAUAUAAGGCUUGUAACUAGGGGAAGCCUAACAAACAACUACAAACACCUAAGUUAUUUUACUCAGACUACAUACACCCUGUGCUCCCCCCUACCCCAACAUCUCACUCUUUUUUUUUUUUUUUUUUCCUUUUCAUCUUGGCUUUCUGUUGCAGAAUGCAAAUGUACCCUGCCGGCGGUGAAAGGGCUGAAUUGUGAUUAAGGAGAAGAAGAGUUCCUUUCUUUGUUCAUCCCUCAGGGGAUGUUUACUGGGAGAGACACAGCGGAUCAGAUAUGAAAGGCAUUCAGAAGUUACAAAGUAACAAUCGGGAAAGUCACCUGACUAAGAGUGAAACUUCGGAAGGGGCUAAAAUCACAGCUUGGACAUUGCUGUGUGCAUACAGCCAUCGCAACAAUUUUGACAUAUUUUUACACUUCCCUGCAAGCCUUGAUUAAUUACAACAGACAAGUAAAAAAAAAAAAAUUUUUUUUUUUUUUUUUUUUUUUUAUAGCCCAGAUCCAUUCUUCAUCCUAUCCUUACCCACACUUCUCAUGGAUUCAGUAACAAAAUCCACAUUUCUGUCCAAUGUUGGGGGUCUCUUUUUUUUCUGUUAUUAUUUCCUGUUUAUUGAGCUCAUCUCUCUAAAUCACAUCCCCCUUUUUUCUGUUGAGUUAGGGGCUGUAUAUAUGACUUUGUUAAAGAUAACAAUCACUAUAUUUAAUGUUAUCAGUAGUAACACAACUCGGUGCUGUCAUAUUAUAGAGAAAAUGAGAGAGAGCAAAAGAAAAAAAAGAAAAAAAAAUCACAGGAUUUUAGAUAAACCCUUGUUAUUCCCUAAGGACAGAGCUUAAUGUAUACUCUGCAAGCCAGACAAAAGGACAAAAAUAUUAGCCAACUGCUUUGUAACAUGGAUGAAGUGUAUGUAGCACUGAAGCCAAUCAAUGUCCAUUAAAUGCAACUGUAAAAUAA